GUCAGAAACAGAAUCGACUGCAAGGAGGAACUACGAGAAUUAAUAUUUGCUGAUGAGGCACGAACUGGCAUUUGUGAGAGACGUCGUAAACAUCUCCUGGCUAUUCGUGCACUGCGGAUCCUUGGGGGCUGUGUCCGGGAACCUGACGCCAUUGAUGCCAUGCUUUUCGAAGAAGGGCAACCCUCUUCCAAAAACACCAUGCGUAACCCUCACCGGAGCUACAAUUGAA